rnacentral:rRNA from 1 species
CAGUCCCGCGGUAAUACAGAGGGUGCGAGCGUUAAUCGGAUUUACUGGGCGUAAAGCGUGCGUAGGCGGCUAAUUGAGUCGGAUGUGAAAUCCCCGAGCUUAACUUGGGAAUUGCAUUCGAUACUGGUUAGCUAGAGUGUGGGAGAGGAUGGUAGAAUUCCAGGUGUAGCGGUGAAAUGCGUAGAGAUCUGGAGGAAUACCGAUGGCGAAGGCAGCCAUCUGGCCUAACACUGACGCUGAGGUACGAAAGCAUGGGGAGCAAACAGGAUUAGAUACCCCCGUAGUCCCUGUCUCUUAUACA